CCUACGGGCGGCAGCAGUGGGGGAUAUUGCACAAUGGGGGGAACCCUGAUGCAGCGACGCCGCGUGGGUGAAGGAGCGUUUCGGCGCGUAAAGCCCUAUCGGCAGGGAAGAAGAUGACGGUACCUGACCAAGAAUCCCCGGCUAACUACGUGCCAGCCGCCGCGGUACUAAGUAGGGGGCAAGCGUUAUCCGGAUUUACUGGGUGUAAAGGGGGCGCAGACGGGAAUGCAAGCCAGGAGUGAAAGCCCGGGGCCCAACCCCGGGACUGCGCUUGGAACUGGAUGGCUGGAGUACAGGAGGGGCAGGCGGAAUUCCUAGUGUAGCGGUGAAAUGCGUAGAUAUUAGGAGGAACAUCGGUGGCGAAGGCGACUAGCUGGAACAUAACUGACGCUGAGGAGCGAAAGCGUGGGUAGCAAACAGGAUUAGAUACCCCUGUAGUC
rnacentral:rRNA from 1 species